rnacentral:rRNA from 1 species
AGUACGGUCGCAAGAUUAAAACUCAAAGGAAUUGACGGGGACCCGCACAAGCGGUGGAUGAUGUGGAUUAAUUCGAUGCAACGCGAAAAACCUUACCUACCCUUGACAUGUCUGGAAUCCUGAAGAGAUUUAGGAGUGCUCGCAAGAGAACCGGAACACAGGUGCUGCAUGGCUGUCGUCACUCGUGUCGUGAGAUGUUGGUUAAGUCCCGCAACGAGCGCAACCCUUGUCAUUAGUUGCUACAUUUAAAAGAGCACUCUAAUGAGACUGCCGGUGACAAACCGGAGGAAGGUGGGGAUGACGUCAAGUCCUCAUGGCCCUUAUGGGUAGGGCUUCACACGUCAUACAAUGGUCGGGACAGAGGGUUGCCAAACCGCAAGGUGGAGCCAAUCUCAUAAACCCGAUCGUAGUCCGGAUGCAGUCUGCAACUCGCCUGCAUGAAGUCGGAAUCGCUAGUAAUCGCGGAUCAGCAUGUCGCGGUGAAUACGUUCCCGGGUCUUGUACACACCGCCCGUCACACCAUGGGAGUGGGUUUUACCAGAAG